rnacentral:lncRNA from 1 species
GAAAAACUAAACUCUAUCAAACAUUUAAAAGUUGGAAAAUUCAUGGUAAUUUCCAUUUUCCAUGGAAAAAAUUAACCAAUCAAAGACUACCUUAUUUCCUCUCACGUUCAUCUCUUACCAUCGACAAACUCCAUCUCCUUCUCCAUACAUAAUCCCAUCCCAAAACUGCUAACCGAUCCAUCAAAUCCCAACAAGAUUCCUCCUCAAAUCCAGCCCCCGAAGAAACCCCUCCCAAAAAGCCAACAAUUUUAUCAUCUGGUUCAGGAUUUGGCUCUGUAUCUGCAACUUCCACUGUGCCCUCUUCCAACAGGAAACAGAAGAAGGGAAAGAGAGAAGGGCCUCCAUAAUUCGCAGAGAACCGCUGGAAAAACCCAAGUUUAUUGCCACUCAACAAGACGAAGCGAGGAGCGAGGAACCGAGGAAGAAUGAUAGGGCUUUUCUUCUUGCUUGGUUAGGGUUCGGCACAGUUAUUCUUGUCGAGGGUAUCGUUCUUGCUGCUUCAGGUAGGUUUUGUUAGUAGUCAGUGUCCCUUUACUUUUAUGCGUGUUGAAAUUCAUUGCUGCAAUUUGCUGUUCGAUAUUUGUUAGUGUGACUUGUUUAUUGAAGACAAAAUUUUAAUUCUUAAGCUUUUAGAAGGGAUUGUUCUAUCGGAGGAUCCAAAGGACCUGAAAUGUUUCACUGCCACAGGCUGACAACAAAUUUCAAUAAAUAAAAUUGUCAGUUCUUUAAAAGUUUAAGCUUUUAGACUAGUUCAAUAUUUACUUGUUAGCAGCACCAGAUGAAGCAUUAAGAAAUUCUGUCACAUUAAUUCAUUCGAUAAUUACUUUCAGGGCAGACAAUAUAUUGCAUACAUUUAGUACCAUUUUAUAGUUUUUUUAAUCCGUCAUGAUCAAUACAGCAAAACUCAGUUGUAGCAAUAUGUAAUAGAAUAUGACCAUUUUCCGGUUCAAUACCUCUGCCUCGACUGAACAAUUCUGAAGGAAGAUAGACCUGGAACUCAACAAUACGCUUGGAAUUUUUAUGAAUAUUUAUAAUUAUUGUUUGCUGCCUGACCAUAAUAUUGACACGCACAACCUGAUAAAUAAUGACUUUCAGCAGAAACAGUAUCAUUUGUCAGUAUACUAUGUAGAACAUAUUCUAAUGGAAAAACAGCUUCUGGCUGGCCAAUUCAUCUCUCUAUCAACAUAAUUCAGUGUUUGGAUACCAAAUUACUAAGGAGCAAUUUAUUUCAUAUUCUUAUUGUUAUAAGGACCUGAAGGAGAUAUUACUAAGGAGCAAUUUAUUUCAUAUUCUUAUUGUUAUAAGGACUUCAGUGUUUGAAGGUUAACCUUUUACAAAUUGAGUUCAGAACUUAUUCCUUGGAGCUUACCUAUGUUUUCAAUCAUGUUACUGGCCUACUGUCUAUGUUACAGUUGUAAUAUAAUUCUAUUGUGUUGAAGAUAUUCUAGCUUAAACAUUGUAGUGUCCUUCAUUUGUGUGAGAUGUAUAUCUGCUUGUCAUAAAAGAAAAGAAAUAUAAGUCAUGUUGCAUUGCAUGUAGCGCUAGUGCUGUGAUAGUGCAGAUUAUGCUCUAUUCGCUUUCUACUUGCAGGCUUUUUACCAGAAGAAUGGGAUAAGUUCUUUGUGAAAUAUCUAUUCCCAUCUUUUACGCCAACAGUGUUCUUGUUUGUGGUUUGUACAGUUGCCUAUGGAGUUUUGAAAUACUUGCAGAAUGAGCAAUUUAACCGUGAAAACUGAUAUUAUGUUAUCAAAUAUGAGUCAAGAGGAAUGGUUUCUAGCAUAAUUAGCAUGGUCUUGUGUGUUCUGUGCAAUGCUUUUUAUCCGUUGGCAAAACAAAUAUGUAAGAUGGAAAUACUAAAUUCUGAUUUAGAAAAAUGUAGGAACAACAUUAUACUCUUACCCUUACCUCAGUAUGAAUGAUAAAGUUUCUUGUGAAUCCCAUCAAUCAAUAGUACUUUUGCAAUCUCUUUUAUAGAUGUAUGCACCACGUGACCUCGUUGUACCCCCCCUUUUUUUUUUGGUUUUCAUUAUUGUGAUUGAACCUCUAAUAUCUAAAUUGGACCUCUUGUGUUGGACCUGCAAUUGGUUUAUUUGGAGAAUAAUUGUGGUAGGAUUUACAUAAGUGAAUGAUAUUUAACUCUGGAGCUUGUCAGCAUCUUUAUUCCAUCCUUCUUUAAUUAUAUAGUUAUGAUUGUUUUUAUUUGCCAAACGCUGGGGCUCAACGCUUGCUUAUGAGAAUUAAGAGCGCAUAGUUCAUUCUACAAUAAAGUUUGCUUUUUUAUGAGGAUCACAUGUGAUAAGCUCGACUCUGCUAGAGAAUCAAUUAAUUUUGGUAUCUGUGUUUGCUCUAAACUCGGGGAUCCAACAUGUGGAAUAUUCUUUUUUAAAUUGUAAUGGAUACCUUUCAAAUUGAAAUGUAAACGAGAUGAGAUGGAACUUUUAACCAUUGCUGUUAAAAGGUCAAGUCUAGAGAUUUUGAUAGCACUAAUGAUGCUGGAAAAUAUUUAUUCAGAAACUAUUCAUUUGAUCUAUUACAUAACUAAAUUUAUUUAUUUUAUUUUAUUUUAUUUUAUUUCUGUCUCUACACCUUAAUCAUUCAAAUUCUUGCUUCAAAACUUUGUGGACUUGAGGCCUUGCUUAUUGCAAACCUUCAUCUCAUGAUUAGAGCUUCUUAAUAUUUUUCCUUUGGGUUUACUAUCUGUAGUAUUCCCACUGUAAGGCCAGGUAUAUACUUUAAAAUUUAGAAAUCAAGCGAUGCAGUGAUUGACAGAUAGCUUGACAAUGCGAAGCUUGCUAUUUUCAAAUGAAAGAUCCUUAGUAGAUGGUGGCAGGAAAUAUGGUCGUCUUGCAUUUUCAUAACAUGUACGGCUGUUAUGAUGAAGCAGUCACAAGUAUGAGAGUUAGUGGGGAACGCCAACAAGUGUGAUGAUACCAUCUGAGGAUAUAUGAAUGAAGGGAAAAACAACUUAGAUGAUUGGGAAAUAUUUUCCCAGAUCUAAAGAAACCCUCAUGCAUGAUAGCGUAGUGGUCGCAGUGCAUCAAAUUGUAAGGAGAGGUAUAUUAAAAUUAACGUGGCUUGAUUUAGUCGCAAUAUGUUUGAUUUUGUUGGACACCUUUACUUGGAUGCAAAUUCUGUAUUAGACGGAAUGGUGAAAAAGAAUUCAUGUGGCCAUUUCUGAUUUUAUUUGAUGUAAAGCUCAGCUUGUUCUAUAAUAUUGUUAAGACUGAAAGAGGAGAUGAUAACAUGUCCUUUCCUUGUUGUCCAUUCUGCCUAACUCUGGGAGCACAAUUUGGGGAAUGUUUAACCUGUGCAUUCUGCAAUAUCUUUCGAUCCUUUCGUUUUCAUUGUCUGAUCUUCCAUGCAUAAGAAUUCCCUAGGCAUUGUAAAUUUUUUGCAGUCGUGUCGAGGAAAUAUGGCAUCAAUUGAUUUACCAUUUUUAUUGCAGGACACUAAUCACAUACAUAUCUAGUGAACUUCAUAUAGUUCUUCUGUCAAGGCGAAUUGAACCAUCUCUGUUGCGUUUCUUGUCUUGCUAACAGAAAGCAAAUUUAUUAGAAAAGUUGAAGGUUCAUUUCUUGAUGAGACUGAAUUCAACUAGUUGGGGUAGGCUACAUGAUGUUUGGAAUCAUGGAGAGUUUUCUAGGGAAAUAGCCAGUGAUGUUCUGCUGAUCUUGAAUAUAUCUGAAAUGGCACAUCGUUACUGUUUCCUUACUCAAGCUCAUAUUUCUGGACACUGAAUAUAUAAAUGCUCCUAUUCAGAACAGAAGACUGCCGGCUUUUAUCGGUUGGAUUCGAACAGCAGUGUCCCUCGAGUUACACCUUAUCCAUUUAUGAGCUCAUUUACAACUAUCGAAUUCUCUGACAUCAUAAGGAGUUCUUCAACUUCAUAUACUUGAAGAGAAGAAUUUAGUUAAAUAAGUGUUACUGUUACAUCUGCUCUGUUUAAGAGAGCAUGCAACUGCAUUGCUGAUAAGCUAUCUGAGUAAACACUUAAAAUGCUUGAUAUAAAUGAUUUCUUUCGUUUUAUCCAUUAAACUUGUUUUGUCAGCCUCUACUCUUUGUUUUCACCAAGCAUGACCGUGGCUGUAACUGUUAAGAGGUCUCAAAUCAUAUCACCACGCCAAUUAUAUGCCUUCUACUGGUAUGUAACUGCAACUUCCUUCCUAGAUUGAAAUGAUAUUAUUAUUAUGAAGAAAAUCUUUAGUUGCAUAUGUUGAUAUUGGGAUUGAUGGACUUCAAUUCUUCAUUCAUAAUAUUUCUGUAAAUGGUGUUUUAUCCUUUCGUUGAAGUCAAUUAUGUGAAAUCUAUCAAUGGAUGAUAUCAAAAAAAAUGAACAAAAUGCUGUCUCUGUCUAUAUCUGACACUUUUUUCUCUGGCACAACUUAUAUUUCGCUUCUUAUCCAUUUAAA